GAUGAAAGCUUUCUUCUUUCCUAAUACAUGCAAGUCGAGCGAACAGACGAGGAGCUUGCUCCUCUGACGUUAGCGGCGGACGGGUGAGUAACACGUGGAUAACCUACCUAUAAGACUGGGAUAACUUCGGGAAACCGGAGCUAAUACCGGAUAAUAUAUUGAACCGCAUGGUUCAAUAGUGAAAGACGGUUUUGCUGUCACUUAUAGAUGGAUCCGCGCCGCAUUAGCUAGUUGGUAAGGUAACGGCUUACCAAGGCAACGAUGCGUAGCCGACCUGAGAGGGUGAUCGGCCACACUGGAACUGAGACACGGUCCAGACUCCUACGGGAGGCAGCAGUAGGGAAUCUUCCGCAAUGGGCGAAAGCCUGACGGAGCAACGCCGCGUGAGUGAUGAAGGUCUUCGGAUCGUAAAACUCUGUUAUUAGGGAAGAACAAAUGUGUAAGUAACUAUGCACGUCUUGACGGUACCUAAUCAGAAAGCCACGGCUAACUACGUG
rnacentral:rRNA from 1 species